AUGUUUUCAAAAUCUUCAUCUGAGCUACCUGCCUGCUAAACCUUACACCUUUCCAUUUUAGAUUCCUCUGAAGAGUUUCCAGCUGAUGCCUGGCUGUAACACUGUGACGGCUCCUACACCCGAGACCAGGGAGUGAGGCGGGAGGGCCAGGAGAAGGCCUUGCUGUUUGUUUUUGUGGCCACCGGGUGUCAUCCUAGGAGCAGGCUUUGGCCCGCCUGGGAGCACCACUAUGGCAGCAGCACUGGAGGCUUCACAAAGUGGAAUCAGCAGAAAGAAACUGGGUUUCUGAGAGAACAUGCUGUAGCUGUGCUGACCUGUUCCUGGCAAGCAACCAAGGAGUGCAGAGGUGGUGGCCAUCAUCAGUGUGGUGUGGCCCCACCGAAGAGUCUGCCCUUUGAGAAACUAAUUCUGAUCCCCAUCCCGCUAAGUACAUUCCCAUCAGCAGCAUGAACCACAAAUAGUGCCCAGCAAUUGGUGAGCAGCAGAUGCCCGAACACCACGUUUCUCAUCUCCUUUCAAUACCCCUGACUCAUGCAUCCUGUCUGAGCUAAUGUUAUUUUCCUGACUGCAGUGUGUCUGCACCCUUGGACUCUCCACAAGGGCCCAAGCCAUCCCAGAAAGCUCACUCUUCCUCUCUAGACUUCAGCUUCACUGUGCUUUUGGAGACUGUCACUCAAAGCUACCUUGCUAUGCCAAUUCACAUCCGGAAUCUGUGAAUUUACACUGGUAUAUCAGUCCCCUGCUUUUCCUCUAAUUUUAAAAUAAUUCUAGGCCAUCGCAUA